rnacentral:rRNA from 1 species
CCUACGGGUGGCAGCCGUGGGGAAUAUUGGGCAAUGGGCGCAAGCCUGACCCAGCAACGCCGCGUGAAGGAAGAAGGCUUUCGGGUUGUAAACUUCUUUUCUCAGGGACGAAGCCAGUGACGGUACCUGAGGAAUCAGCCACGGCUAACGACGUGCCAGCCGCCGCGGUACUACGUAGGGGGCAAGCGUUAUCCGGAUGUACUUGGUGUAAAGGGAGCGUAGGCGGGAAAGCAAGUCAGUUGUGAAAUCCAUUGGCUCAACCUGUGGACUGCAUUUGAAACUGUUUUUCUUGAGUACUGGAGAGGCAGGCGGAAUUCCUAGUGUAGCGGUGAAAUGCGUAGAUAUUAGGAGGAACACCAGUGGCGAAGGCGG